rnacentral:rRNA from 1 species
UACGUAGGUGGCAAGCGUUGUCCGGAUUUACUGGGCGUAAAGAGCGCGCAGGCGGUCGUUCAAGUCGCGUGUGAAAGCCCCCGGCUCAACUGGGGAGGGUCACGCGAUACUGAUCGACUCGAAGGCAGGAGAGGGUAGUGGAAUUCCCGGUGUAGUGGUGAAAUGCGUAGAUAUCGGGAGGAACACCAGUGGCGAAGGCAGCCAUCUGGACCGACACUGACGCUGAGGCGCGAAAGCGUGGGGAGCAAACAGG